rnacentral:lncRNA from 1 species
UUUUUUUUUUUUUCUUUGCCGAAAAGCCCUAAUGCCAACGUCGCUGUCCUGCUAUUGGAACCGCCCACCUCAGGCUCAGUGGCCCUCCUGUUUCUGGGCUGCUGCAGUGUUGUGUUGGGGUAACUGUAUUAACUUCGUUUGAAUUUUCUUCCUGUUCUUUUGGAAUAAGUGUUGAUAGUUUGUGCUGCUUGUUCACCCCAGAGGCGAGGAUGUCCUUUAGGCCUGGAGGAGCACAGCCCCUGGAGGGAGGUGCCGGGCCUCUACCUCUCAUGUCAUCAGCAGCCCUCUCCACACGUCUCCUCUUCGCUCCUCGUGCCCACGGCUGGGGUCACGGGCCGCUCGCUCUGCUGUUUGAGAUCCUCGGAAAAGAUGUUUGCCCUGAAGAGAGGUUGGGGGUGUGUGGCUGAUUUUAAAUAGGAGGAAAUGAUUGUAACAGAAUGAGCAAUGCCUAGCACUUAGUCUCAGGCUUGAGAAAUUGUGUUUUAGAAGCAAGGUAUCCCCAACUCCGGUUUCCUUCAAAUUAAAUCUUUUAAAGAGUCCACAAAUAUAAAUAGUUAAAGCCUCCUCCACUCCCUCCACCUCUUCCGCCCCCUCCCCUUCUUCCUUCCCCUUCCCUUCUUCCUUCCUUCCUCUCCCCUUCUUCCUUCCUUCCUCUCCCCUUCUUCCUUCCUUCCUCUCCCCUUCUUCCUUCCUUCCUCCCCUUCUUCCUUCCUUCCUCCCUUUCCUCCUCCCUCCUCUUCCUCCUCUUCCCCCUCUUCCCCCUCCCUGUCCUUGGGCAACCUCCAUGGAACUCUGGUUCAAAGUCACUGGUCUGUGGGGCCGCCCAUUUGAUAGACGAGCACGCUGGGGACCAGACACAAGUGACUGACUCAGACCAGCUCGCAUGUCGUCUCCUGCCUCCCAUAACACCGGGUUGUCCCUAAUGGAAGAGAAUCAAUGAUGCUGCUUCACUGAUCUCCAGGGAAAACAGGUUGAUAACAGGUUAUAAACAUGGGAAUGUUUUGGAAAAAGCGUCGUCCACUUGUCAGCUCCAUCUCUCCUGCCCGGAAGAUGUAGGGGAAACCUGCCUUCAGCCCACCCUCAUCCCAUAACAGGACAGAGGACAAAGGGGCAGAGACCCAGGUCCUGUCAGUGCCCUCAGGAAACCCCCCAUUUCCUCCUCAUGGUGGAAGUGGGAACCAUCCCACUGGACUAGAUUUUCCCGGGAAGCCUCUUCACCCCGAAAGCAAGGAAUCUGGUUUGAGCACACACCAUUCUCGGUGCCAUGACUUUCUGCUGCUGAACCCUGCAUACGUGGCCCAUUGAUCUUGCUAGUCCAGUGUUACUGGGUCCUGGGAGUUUCUGUGGGCUGAUGGCAGGUGUUUACCAUUGUGUUCAGAGGGGAGAACAGAACUUUAUUUGUCGAAAUCAGAUGAUAACCAUUGCCAUGUGAUUCCUUGGGUUGGUUUGGGUGGGGGGUGCUCAAUGCUUUUCCUGAGGGCUAAGUUCUAGUUUGAGACCGUCUCUCUUUGUCGCCCAAGCUGGAGUGCAGUGGUGCGAUCUUGGCUCACUGCAACCUCUGCCUCCUGGUUUCAAGCAGUUCUCCCUGCCUCAGCCUCCCAAGUAGCUGGGAUUAUAGGUGUGUGCCACCACGCUUGGCUAAUUACAAAAAUAUUUAAUAUAGGCUGGGUUUUGCCAUAUUGGUCAGGCUGGUCUCGAACUCCUUGCCUCAAAUGAUCGGCCCACCUUGCCCUCCUAAAAUACUGGGAUUACAGGCUUGAGCCACUGUGCCCGGCCUGAUCCUGACAUCUUUUAAAGCUGCCUUCAUGUACCAAAAGCCAGUCUAUGUUUGAAAAUCAGUCUUGAAGAGCCUAGGAGGAGAGGGAUAAGCUUCAACUAGGUGAAUAACUAUGCAUAU